rnacentral:rRNA from 1 species
GAUGAACGCUGGCGGCGUGCCUAAUACAUGCAAGUCGAGCGAACGGACGAGAAGCUUGCUUCUCUGAUGUUAGCGGCGGACGGGUGAGUAACACGUGGAUAACCUACCUAUAAGACUGGGAUAACUUCGGGAAACCGGAGCUAAUACCGGAUAAUAUUUUGAACCGCAUGGUUCAAAAGUGAAAGACGGUCUUGCUGUCACUUAUAGAUGGAUCCGCGCUGCAUUAGCUAGUUGGUAAGGUAACGGCUUACCAAGGCAACGAUGCAUAGCCGACCUGAGAGGGUGAUCGGCCACACUGGAACUGAGACACGGUCCAGACUCCUACGGGAGGCAGCAGUAGGGAAUCUUCCGCAAUGGGCGAAAGCCUGACGGAGCAACGCCGCGUGAGUGAUGAAGGUCUUCGGAUCGUAAAACUCUGUUAUUAGGGAAGAACAUAUGUGUAAGUAACUGUGCACAUCUUGACGGUACCUAAUCAGAAAGCCACGGCUAACUACGUGCCAGCAGCCGCGGUAAUACGUAGGUGGGCAGCGUUAUCCGGAAUUUAUGGGCGUAAAGCGCGCGUANGCGGUUUUUUAGUCUGAUGUGAAAGCCCACGGCUCAACCGUGGAGGGUCAUUGGAAACUGGAAAACUUGAGUGCAGAAGAGGAAAGUGGAAUUCCAUGUGUAGCGGUGAAAUGCGCAGAGAUAUGGAGGAACACCAGUGGCGAAGGCGACUUUCUGGUCUGUAACUGACGCUGAUGUGCGAAAGCGUGGGGAUCAAACAGGAUUAGAUACCCUGGUAGUCCACGCCGUAAACGAUGAGUGCUAAGUGUUAGGGGGUUUCCGCCCCUUAGUGCCGCAGCUAACGCAUUAAGCACUCCGCCUGGGGAGUACGACCGCAAGGUUGAAACUCAAAGGAAUUGACGGGGACCCGCACAAGCGGUGGAGCAUGUGGUUUAAUUCGAAGCAACGCGAAGAACCUUACCAAAUCUUGACAUCCUUUGACAACUCUAGAGAUAGAGCCUUCCCCUUCGGGGGACAAAGUGACAGGUGGUGCAUGGUUGUCGUCAGCUCGUGUCGUGAGAUGUUGGGUUAAGUCCCGCAACGAGCGCAACCCUUAAGCUUAGUUGCCAUCAUUAAGUUGGGCACUCUAAGUUGACUGCCGGUGACAAACCGGAGGAAGGUGGGGAUGACGUCAAAUCAUCAUGCCCCUUAUGAUUUGGGCUACACACGUGCUACAAUGGACAAUACAAAGGGCAGCGAAACCGCGAGGUCAAGCAAAUCCCAUAAAGUUGUUCUCAGUUCGGAUUGUAGUCUGCAACUCGACUACAUGAAGCUGGAAUCGCUAGUAAUCGUAGAUCAGCAUGCUACGGUGAAUACGUUCCCGGGUCU